rnacentral:snoRNA from 1 species
AUCCUUUUGUAGUUCAUGAGGAUGACGGUUGGGUGUUUCACACAUGCGUGUGAAAUGUACCACCCUCAAACCUUGUUACAAUGUCAGCACAUUUACCUGCCUGACC